UCAAGCUGAGUGAUCCAGAGUCGACUGGCUCUGCAAAAUUGCUGGACUGACACUGCUCUUCCGUGUCUAAAAGAAAGGGCAAGAGAAAUAGCACCUCUAGAUGUGCUGAGAAGAGUCAGGCAGGUCAUGGGGACCCAGAAUCUUGAGAAGGAUCCUACCAGUUACUGACAAUGCUGAAGAUGGAAAUUGUCAGAGAAGUUCGAUGUGUCCUGCCGAGUAAACUGACCUUACGUGCAUUUCUGUCUUCCAAGGGCUGUGGCCCCCAACCUGGUAGUCCCCUCGUCAGACCCUCAUGUCUCCACCUUCACUGACUCAGUGCACCUUGCUACCAGGAUACAGAAACCGGCUGCUGAUUGCACAGCACUUCCAGGCCCUGAUGGAGCAGCCUGGGCUCCGUGGGCACCUGCACCUGCAGGUUAUUCCUUCUGCUGGGAAGCUGGACAGAGGAGAGUGAGGAUGCAGUCAACUACUGAAGACUUGACUGGACAGUAAGAAUUUUUCUUUCCUUUGCUCAAUAAAGCUGCUAGUAAUCCUCUUCUUGGGUCA
rnacentral:lncRNA from 1 species